rnacentral:rRNA from 1 species
UACGGGGGGGGCAAGCGUUGUUCGGAAUUACUGGGCGUAAAGGGCGCGUAGGCGGCCAGAUAAGUCCGCUGUGAAAUCUCGAGGCUCAACUUCGAGCUGUCGGUGGAAACUGUCUGGCUAGAGUCCGGAAGAGGAGAAUGGAAUUCCUGGUGUAGCGGUGAAAUGCGCAGAUAUCAGGAAGAACACCCGUGGCGAAGGCGGUUCUCUGGGACGGUACUGACGCUGAGACGCGAAAGCGUGGGGAGCGAACAGG